CACUCUGUCAUCCAGGCUGGAGUGCAGUGGCAUGAUCUCAGCUCACUGCAACCUCCACCUCCUGGCUUCAAGCAAUUCUCCUGCUUCAGCCUCCCAAGUAGCUGAGAUAACAGGUGUCUGCCACCACGCCCAGCUAAUUUUUAUAUUUUUAGUAGAGACAGGGUUGCACCAUGUUAGCUAGGCUGGUCUUGGACUCUUGCCCUCAAGCGAUUCGCUCGCCUUGGCCUCCAAGAGUGCAGGGAUUACAGGUGUGAGCCACUGUGCCCAGCCUGCUAAUUUUUUAAUUUUUUUGUAGAGACUGGGGUCUAGCUAUGUCGCCCAGCCUGGUCUCAAAUUCCUGGCCUCAAGGAUCCUCCCGCCUCAGCCUCCCAAAGCCCCAGGAUUACAGGAUUAUAGAGAGCUGCCAGGGAAGCAUGGGUUAUGUUCCACGUAACUGCUCUCUUUGAUGUUGCUUCGAAGCCAACAGUUCCCAGACCUAUGAGCCAUGUGCGAAUUGCUAGAAAAGUUUCCACAGACAUACUUUCAAUCUUUGUUUAAACUUUAAGUUUCC
rnacentral:lncRNA from 1 species